UAGGGAAUCUUCCACAAUGGGCGAAAGCCUGAUGGAGCAACGCCGCGUGAGUGAUGAAGGCCUUCGGGUUGUAAAACUCUGUCAUUCGGGACGAACCGGAGCCUGAGGAAAUGCAGACUCUCUGACGGUUCCGGAGGAGGAAGCCCCGGCUAACUACGUGCCAGCAGCCGCGGUAAUACGUAGGGGGCAAGCGUUGUCCGGAUUCACUGGGCGUAAAGCGCGCGCAGGCGGUGAUGUAAGUCUGAGGUGAAAACCCGAAGCUCAACUUCGGGACUGCCUUGGAUACUGCGUCACUUGAGGAUAGGAGAGGCAAGGGGAAUUCCACGUGUAGCGGUGAAAUGCGUAGAGAUGUGGAGGAACGCCUGUGGCGAGGGCGCCUUGCUGGCCUAUUUCUGGCGCUGAGGCGCGAAAGCGUGGGGAGCAAGCAGG
rnacentral:rRNA from 1 species